ACGCACGCUGGCGGCGUGCUUCACCCCUGCCAGUCGAACGGAAAGGCCCUGCUUUUGUGGGGUGCUCGAGUGGCGAACGGGUGAGUAACACGUGAGUAACCUGCCCUUGACUUUGGGAUAACUUCAGGAAACUGGGGCUAAUACCGGAUAGGAGCUCCUGCUGCAUGGUGGGGGUUGGAAAGUUUCGGCGGUUGGGGAUGGACUCGCGGCUUAUCAGCUUGUUGGUGGGGUAGUGGCUUACCAAGGCUUUGGCGGGUAGCCGGCCUGGGAGGGUGAACGGGCACCUUGGGACUGAGAUACGGCCCAGACUCCUACGGGAGGCAGCAGUGGGGAAUAUUGCACAAUGGGCGGAAGCCUGAUACAACAACGCCGCGUGCGGGAUGACGGCCUUCGGGUUGUAAACCGCUUUCGCCUGUGACGAAGCGUGAGUGACGGUAAUGGGUAAAGAAGCACCGGCUAACUACGUG
rnacentral:rRNA from 1 species